AUGAAAGCACUCUCCAAAGUUAAGAUAGUAUCAUUAUCUGGGAAGACAGUCUCCAGCAUUCUCCUUUAGUGUUUAGAAAUACUGUGUUGAAGGCCGGGAUAUUCCUGCUAGCCAGGCACAGUGGCUCACGCCUGUAAUCCCAGCACUUUGGGAGGCCGAGGCAGGCGGAUCACGAGGUCAGGAGUUCGAGACCAGUGUGGCCAACAUGCUGAAAUCUGUCUCUACUAAAAAUACAAAAAAAAAAUUAGGUGGCAUGGUGUCACGCACCUGUAAUCCCAGCUACUCAGGAGGCUGAGGCUGGAGAAUCACUUGAACCCGGGAGGUGGAGGUUGCAGUGAGCCAAGAUCGCGCCACUACAAUCCAGCCUGGGCGACAGAGCAAGACUCCAUCUCAAAUAAAAAAAAAAAAAAGAAAGAAACAAAAAAGAAAAUCCUCUGUGCGUUGAAAAGUAUCACUGCCAAGCAGUGUCUGUCACCUGCUUCCAGGGUUGAUCCAUCUGUAAAUGCAACCACAACCUGAAACUCACCAGUGCUUUUCCUCUGGAAAUUACAAAAUGCAAAUGUAGGUUCCAUAGAGAUAUUUAGGGAGCUAUCUUCUGAUCUCAUGGUUUUAUUUGUUUGUUUAGAAUAACAAGAAAGCCACAUUGCUGGAUCAUCCUGCCCUUCUAGGUCUUUCAGUAAUCUUAAAUGAGAAACCCUGUCACAGGUCACUGCAGUGAUUUGCAAUCAUGAAUAGGAGCUAAUGAAUUCCAUAGAUUAGCAGCAAGUGGGAGAAGGGAGGAAAAACCCCUCUAGUUAAAACCUGAAUCAACAAUGUUACAAAAUGCCUGCUAUGUGAGGUUUGAGGGGGUUUGGUUGCAUUAUAAUGGCUGGCCCACUAAUUAGUGUAUUUAAAACAUUUUAUAGGAGCAGUUGAUUUCUCACCGCCCACCCCCGACCCCACCACUAUUGAUCAUGAGGUGCUUUGAGGGGUCCGGGUUUGGAGGACUGAAACACCGUGGGAUCUUGGAACAGCUCUUCCUUGUUGGUGAUCCCUUAUUAAGAAGCCCUCCAGCCUGACAAUGCUGAAGCCCUGGAGGUUGGAGCCACUCAGAAGAGGAAACCAGAGCACAGAAAGGUUAAGUGAAAUGCCCGAAGUCACACAACUGAUAAAUGGUCAAAUUGGGAUCCAAGCCCAGGCAGCUCUGAGUCAUUGACAUUACUCUGUCCUAGAAGGCACUCGACAGAAAGGGGGUUUGUGCUUCCUCCAUCCCACCCAGCUUCUGAAUGGUCCAGGCCCCUGACUGCAUUGCCACGAAAAGGCCUCAGAAAAAUGUCUGUGCAUGCAUCAAGACUGCAAGCCAGAUCCAAAAUGUAUCAGGUCUCCUUUAUGGGGAAUAGUGAGAAGCAAAUGGAAAUAGAUUGUCUUCCUGCUUGGGACUGUUAACACAGCAGCCAAACUGAACUGAAAAUAUUUUAUUUUAUUUUAUGAGAAUUUUAAUGAGAAUAUUUUAUUCUCAUUAUACUUUGCUAGAAGUUGCCUUCUAGAGGGAUUUCUUUGGGCUUUUAUUUUGAAUUCUAAUAAAGAAUACCUUGACUACAAAUU
rnacentral:lncRNA from 10 species